UAGUUUAUUCCUAAAAUUAUAAACAUCUAAUUUCCUUACACAGGAUGCCAGCCAUGCCACAUCAGAGAUGCAGAAACUCUCCCUAAACCAAAACGAGAAUGCAGAAGCCAGCAAGUUCAAAAAGAUUUCCCAUGAUAAGAAGGCGACAGCUCCAGUGAACAUGUCCAAACUUUUAAGUUUUGGUUAUGCUGACGAAGAGAAUAAAUCUCUCAAUGAUGAUGAUGCUUCAAGCAUUACCUCUGAGCAGACCAGCCCCAUUGCACCAGAGGAUGAACUGGAAUAAAGAUGAUGUCGCCCAAAACCCUUCUUCAUGAAUUGUUGUUCUCUCGUAUCCACUAGCUCCUCUGCAUAAAUCACCCACUCUCUGCUUUAUGCAAAAACAUUUUUUAGUUAUCUGUUUUGCAUCUUUAUCUAAUUUACUUGUUUGUGUUAUGCUCACAUAUCUAUGGUGCUUGUGAUCAGGAUAUCUAUACCCUUGAAGAAAGGGAUAUUUGUAAAGUCUAAAUGAAAACCAGCUGUUUCUCACCUCACAUUGUCAAUGGAUAUGACAAGAUAUGUAAGCUGCAAACUCUUAUUACAAACUCCAUGGCUGUUUUAUAAAGUAAGUCUCUGGGUUGAACACUUUUAAGUGUUCUUAUGGCCCAGUAGUUAGCUAGUUGAGCGCAUGAUGAGCACACAAGAAGGUUACCUUAAAAUAAAUGAUGCAGAUGCCAUUGGUAGGGAUUUGAGAA